AUGGCUGCAAUGGAUGUCGGUGCAGACGUUGAAUCCGUUGAACCUUGCAACGAAGACCUCGCAAGGGAAGUGGGUUUACAGUUUAGCGACCUAAGCCAAGUGAAGCGCAAUAUGCUCCUUCGAGCUCGCGCGGCAGGUGUUCCUGUGUACGACAGCGGGUCGUUGGCCGCGUCGUCGGAGAGCGAAGCCUCAUUAUCGCCGACACACAGUUUCAUUUCGUGUUUCAUCACACAGUGCACUUUCGAUCGCAUUCAAGCACUGACAGGGAUCGAACUUAUCGACCACAGCCAGCCACAUUCUGCAGUUUGCACAAAUAAGUUAGUUGCGAUUCAAAAAGUAGAUCCCGACUGGACUCGAUAGCUGUCAAAAGUGCGCCGUGGGACCUAGUACUGUAGGUGAAACGACAUCGCAACGAAUUCGGAUAUAACUUAUUUUUAUUAUGAUUGACGUCAUAAGGAAGCUAUGCCUCAAGGAAUAAAAUUUUUAUCAAAGAAUUCGAUUUCGAUCGGACUCCACCUAGACCAAAAUACCUUGUUACCUUGUCAUGCGCAGCUCCCAACAAACAAUACCUUACGCAAAGAGGAGCCUCCUGCAGCUAUGUAUAGAACUUUUUCCGUUCACCCUAGAUUUUAUGAAUGCAGCCCAAUGUGAAAUUUUUGUGUGCUUGCUUGGUACUGUUUCAGGUGGACUGCGGACAUUGCGGGGUACUCAACUUCAGCGAGGAGGAGUGCCUCUGCUGUCGAGAGAUGGAACAGCCUGUCACCGCUGCGCAGCUUGAAAAAUGCAUCACGGAGCACCCAGAGUUCCACCUCUUGUGUCUCAACAUCGCUGUGCUCUGUAUUCUGUACUGCGGUGCGCAGGGACUGCAUGGAUGAAGACAUCUACAAGAGAUUCUGCUACACUGCCUGCAGGCAGUUCGUACGCUGGCUGUGGGGUCACUUGGCAAAGGUCACCGCUUCAUUCUACCAUCAUGCGUCGUGGUCAAAAUUCAGGGCAACCCCCCCCCCCCCCCCGAGAACCCAACAGGAUUCAGAUAUCCAGAGUAACAGAAGAGUGCAAAUAAAUGAGCCGGCUGUGCAAACAGCACACUCAGCGUCUCUACAGGCGUGCUCCGCUCGGCAAGAGGAUCAGCUGUGCAACUCUGCUCUUCUUUACCACCUUUGUAUGUGUGCAGGGUUUGUUCACAACACCGAAUCUGCCCCAGCAAACAUUGUGCGAGUGUGUGCCGUUUAGAAAGUGAAAGCUUUCGUGUGAUAUCACUCCUCGAAACUGCUGUGGCAGUUAAAAACUGCACUCGCAACGUUUCUACAGGUAUACUCUGCUCAGCAGUGGGAUCAGCUGUAACUUGAAUCUUCAUUGGUGCCUUCGCAGUGAAGUCCAGUGGGGUCUUCUUGUGUGUUAUAGCUGUAACUUGGCUAUUCAUUGGUGCCAUUGCAGUGACGUCCCAUGGGGUCUGCAUGUGUGCUAUGGUCAGAAAUUGUCAAGAUUUCUCCAGCUUGUGUUGCUUAGAAUGAAUCAAUAAUUCCAUGAUACAACAGCCAUGGUUGUUUGGUUAGGAGGCAAUUGAGUUUAGGGAAAGGGAUGACAUAACAUGAUGAAUGCCCGCCUCAUGUGCAGACUCCCGCAAAAACAGCAGAAUGUCUUGGGCUUAAAUGUCAUUGUUUUGCAAGCCCCAGGCUUUGAAGGUGGCGAUGUGUUGUCUGAAUUACCAUGAACCAACUAGCCCAAGCCUCAACCCUAGAAAGAGCUGUUCCUCACGCGCCCACGUAACCUCGCUCCGCGACACAGCCCCAUCUCUUGCUUGGCAGCGAAGCUAAGUACGAGAACUACAAUGCAUGGGCGCCAUAGGGUGAAAAUAAUGUUACAGGAGGUGAAACUACCCCCACAGUGUGGAAAAAUUUCCUGUCACACCAUUGUGCAAUUGCACAUAGCAGCUAUACCAAGGAGCAUUUUCAAUAUAUGAGGUAGUGAACACGGCAGCCGUGUAGAUGAUGUGGCCAGUUUUGCUUGAUGCACACAUCCCAUUUGUACUACUGUGCUGAGUGUGAAAUAAAGCAUAACUCAAGACAGCACGGAAAGCCACGACACUCUGUGGAGUGUGUCUGAAGCUAUAGCUCCGGACUUUCGAUAAUGAAUGACAAGCAACAUCAUUAUGCAUCUCUGGCAUAGCCACUGCUGCCUCCUUCCUUGGUGGAAACCAAAGCGUGCCAAUAAAGGUCUGAUUUUCUGUGGCCUCAGCAUGCAGUUUGUGCGUGCACCAUGGUUUACAACCAUGACUGCUUUGCGAGAAUCCUCGAAAGAUGUUCAUUAAUUCAAGGGUCAUAUGGGAUAGUGAUGCCUCGGGCUGACUUGCCCAUUGUUGUCUGCUAUAGGGGAUGAAGGGGAUUUGAUGGAGUGGUGCUUUCAAAGAUAUCUCUGUGGAAGGGUAGUUGCUUUCUCGACACACAGCCCAUGAGGGCUCCUGUCUAUCUAUGUUUGUUUAGUUCUGCAGAUACAUUGCAUUCUCUUUUUCUCUCUUGUGAUGUGUAGAUUGCAUGCUGUGUGUGUUUACUGCUAGAUGCAACAGAAAACUGAGCAGACAGCGGAGGGCCAAAGAGACCAAAACAAGACUGGAGAGGUACUUUUCACUGAUGGGGUUUCUGAGGUCUUAUAUUGUAGAGUCAGACACAGACCAACUGGGAAGGAACAGAUUCCACUUGGCCCCACUGCCUGAAAUUGAGGAACGCUCAUCUCAUGAGUCAAUGUCUGGGAGAAACCCGUCAGCCUCGCCAGACGUGAGGAACCACGAAGGGGGAGAUGUGCCAGGUCAAGAGGACAAACUGCAACCAUAAAGAAAUCAAUCCUGACGAGGCUCGUCUGUCCCACAGGGCUACAAGACGCGGAGUGGACGUGUAGGCAAGCGAGAGCGAGGUGUGCUGUGUGUGUUUACUGCUGUAGAAACAGGAAUACAAAGGAGAAGGCCAAUCAUCAUCAUGCUGUCAUGUUCUAAUCAUCUGAAUAAACGGUUCUAACCAUUG